UUACGGCCAUAUCACGUCGAAACACCGGUUUUCAUAAGAUCACCGAAGUUAAGCACCAUCGAGCUAGGUCAGUACUUAGAUGAGUGACCGUUUGAGAACGCCAGAUGCUGAAA